rnacentral:lncRNA from 1 species
UCUUCCAACAGUACGGAGAGAUAUGGGUAAGGUCAGCCAGAAAAGAACUCCACUGGGGAUCUUCCAACAGGGGGUGAUAUGGACUUUCUGUGGGGAACAACCACCAAACAGAAGCACAUCAAACAACAAUCACUUCUAAACAGAAGGAAAAAUCUCUGCUACGGAGAAGGAGAACCAGUUACUCUGAUGGGGAAGGAAUC